rnacentral:rRNA from 1 species
AUUGAACGCUGGCGGAAUGCUUUACACAUGCAAGUCGAACGGUAACAGGGACUUCGGUCCGCUGACGAGUGGCGAACGGGUGAGUAAUACAUCGGAACGUACCCAGUUGUGGGGGAUAACUACGCGAAAGCGUAGCUAAUACCGCAUACGACCUGAGGGUGAAAGCGGGGGACCGUAAGGCCUCGCGCAGUUGGAGCGGCCGAUGUCCGAUUAGCUAGUUGGUGAGGUAAAGGCUCACCAAGGCGACGAUCGAUAGCUGGUCUGAGUGGAUGAUCAGCCACACUGGGACUGAGACACGGCCCAGACUCCUACGGGAGGCAGCAGUGGGGAAUUUUGGACAAUGGGCGAAAGCCUGAUCCAGCCAUUCCGCGUGAGUGAAGAAGGCCUUCGGGUUGUAAAGCUCUUUCGGGUAGAAAGAAAUCGCAUGGGCCAAUACCCUGUGCGGAUGACGGUACUACCAUAAGAAGCACCGGCUAACUACGUGCCAGCCGCCGCCGUAA